rnacentral:rRNA from 1 species
UACGGAGGGUGCAAGCGUUGUCCGGAUUUAUUGGGUUUAAAGGGUGCGUAGGUGGUCAUUUAAGUCUGAUUUGAAAGCAGGCGGCUUAACCGUCUGAUGUGGUUGGAAACUGAGUGACUUGAAUGGGUUGGCGGUAGCCGGAAUGGGUCAUGUAGCGGUGAAAUGCAUAGAUAUGACCCGGAACACCGAUUGCGAAGGCAGGCUACUACGACUCGAUUGACACUGAGGCACGAGAGCAUGGGUAGCGAACAGG